AAACGGAAUGCCAAAAAGGCACCGUGACCGAAUUUUCCAUCUAAUCGCCAUUCCUGCCAAAAAAGCACAUCCCCACCGCCGAGGAGUUCGACGGCGAUGCCUCGGAAAUCGUCCAAGGGGGAUGGGAAGGCCGCCGCCGACGCACUCCAACGCCUCCGCCGUCGAGGAUGCACCCGUGGAGACGCCGCCUCCCCGUCCCGAGGCCCCCGCGACGCCGGUGGAAGCUUCUUCGUCCGGGACCGCCGCGGUGGGUGGCGGCCCGGAGGAAGAGGACUUGAGAAGGCUCCACGAGCUGGUGGGAUUUGGUCGGGAGAGAGUGGAGUUGACUGAGGAGGAGGUGCGCGCCAACCAUCAGAGGCAGGAGGACGAGGGCUAGAAUUUUUUUUUAUCUCAAUAAAAGGAUGCACGCUGAGAGCACUGUGGAACCAAGAAUCGUAAAGUUCACUACUUUAUCAGAUAUGUGCCCUGGAAGCGAUUUUCGGCGACAACCUAGUCAUGUUCAGUAGAAAGGAGGGCCAGCGAUCUUUCCAGGUUCAUGUGCAUAUUGAGAUCCCAGAAGAUGGUAAAGAUGUAUCGGUGAGGCUCAGUUUUGGUACUGGAGCACUAGAUUAUAAGCAAGUACAUGGUCAUGAUGGCGAUGCCAGCGAUGAGCUGUUUUACAAGUUUAGGGUUCAGCAUUUACCUUCAAUCCUGUUAUCAUGCCUCCUGCCUUCGUCAUACCCUAGCCAUCAACCACCCUUUUUCACUAUAUCCACCGAAUGGCUGGACAGAGUGAUGAUUUCGUCAUUAUGUCACAUGCUGGAUAUGACCUGGGAAGAGCAACAGGGGCAUGGAAGUAAUAUAUCAGUGGGUGCAACGGCUCCAAAGCUCUUCCCUUUCUUACUUAGGGUUUGACGAUGAGAUAAUUUUAAGAAAGGCUGAUCAAACGUAUGCUCAAGAUGGUGGGGAUAAGCGUGCUUUAACAUACAAUGCUCCACCUGAUGUUACAAUUCCAAGGAUUAUUAGAUACAAUGAUGAUAAGCGUCAUGAGGCCUUUUUGUAUGCUAUCCAUUACUGCACGAUUUGUUUUAGUGUCGAUUUCAUCAAACUACCAUGCCAUCAUUUCUUUUGCCAGAAAUGCAUGCAAACAUAUUGCAAAAUGCAUGUCAAGGAAGGAACUGUAGUGAAGUUGUUGUGUCCUGAUACAAAAUGUGGAGCCGUUGUUCCUCCCAAUAUAUUGAAAAGGUUGCUAGGGGAGGACGAGUUUGAACGUUGGGAAACAUUGCUUCUUCAGAGAACUCUUGAUGCAAUGGUUGAUGUUGUUUAUUGUCCGAGAUGUCAAACUGCUUGCUUGGAAGAUGCAGGUGAUGAAGCCGUGUGUCCAAGUUGUUUGUUCAGCUUCUGUGCACUUUGUAGAGAGCGCCGUCAUGUUGGGGUUGAAUGUUUAUCUGCAGAAGAAAAAAUUCAAAUUUUGGAGGAACGUCAAAAGUCUGCACGAACAAAGGGAGACAUUCAGAAGCUUAUGGAUGAAGUAUGCACCAUCAAGGAAAUUUUGAAGGAUGCAAAGCAGUGCCCGCAUUGCAAGAUGGCUAUAUCUAAGAUUGAGGGAUGCAAUAAGAUGACCUGUUGGAACUGCGGCAGAUUUUUCUGCUACCAAUGCAGCGCUGCAAUUAGUGGAUAUGAUCAUUUCAAUGGUGAUUGUGUGAUAUUUGAUGAGGCUGAAAUCGAUAGAUGGCAGAUGCCAAUGAAUCGAAGGCUACACCGCAUGGUUGUUGGACAAGCUCAGGUUGCCUUGCUUGCCCGAGGACAUGCUUACCCGUGUCCUACCUGCGGCCAAGCAAUUCGAAAGAUUGGAAACAACAACCAUCUCUACUGUUGGUCAUGCAACCAACACUGCUGCGCAUUGUGCCGCACGUCUGUUCAGAAGAUGUCACAGCAUUUUGGUCCAACAGGAUGUAAGCAACAUACUGAAAAUCCAUGAUGCUAUGCCCGCAGCCUCGAAGUAAUUGGAAUGUCCAAAGGUUCUCUUGCAUUGUACUCCCUUCGUUCAGAAUUACUUGUCACAAAAAUGGAUGUAUCUAUAACUAAAAUACAUCUAGAUACAUUCAUUUCUUGGACGAGUAAUUCCGAACGGAGGAGGGAGUACUUGUGGUAACAGCAUUUCCUUUCCGGUGUAUGUUUCUUUGUUAAGAAUUUGUUUGUCCCCUUGUAUGAUUAACAAAAUCUUUUAAACCUGUGAGGCUGGGAUGUGUGUAUGUCGAAUUAAGUUAAAUGUUUGUUGGC
rnacentral:rRNA from 1 species